rnacentral:ncRNA from 1 species
UUAGAACGCUUUAUGAAAAACAAUUGAAAACAUCUCAAAUUUGUUUUAAAAAAUAACUUGAUUCUAGAACAAAUUCUAAAAAAGACCUUUUUUUCUAUCAAAAGUUGGCGAGGUAAUAGUUUACCAAGGUGAUAAUCAGUAGCUGGUCCAAGAGGAUGAUUAGCCACACUAGGACUGAGACACGGCCCAAACUCUUACAAGAGGGAAGAGUGGGGAAUUUUUUGCAAUGGGAGAAAGCCUGAUGGAGCAAUUCUACAUGGAGGUAGAAGGGCCAUGGGUUGUGAACUUUUCCUGGAAAAGAAGCAAUAACGGUAUAUGGGGAAUAAACAUCAGCUAACAUGU